rnacentral:rRNA from 1 species
AUUGAACGCUGGCGGCAUGCCUUACACAUGCAAGUCGAACGGCAGCACGGGUGCUUGCACCUAGUGGCGAGUGGCGAACGGGUGAGUAAUACAUCGGAACGUACCUUAUCGUGGGGGAUAACGCAGCGAAAGCUGUGCUAAUACCGCAUACGCCCUGAGGGGGAAAGCGGGGGAUCGCAAGACCUCGCGCGAUUAGAGCGGCCGAUGCCUGAUUAGCUAGUUGGUGGGGUAAAAGCCCACCAAGGCGACGAUCAGUAGCUGGUCUGAGAGGACGAUCAGCCACACUGGGACUGAGACACGGCCCAGACUCCUACGGGAGGCAGCAGUGGGGAAUUUUGGACAAUGGGGGCAACCCUGAUCCAGCAAUGCCGCGUGAGUGAAGAAGGCCUUCGGGUUGUAAAGCUCUUUUGUCAGGGAAGAAACACCGGCUCUAACGCAGUCCGGGAAUGACGGUACCUGAAGAAUAAGCACCGGCUAACUACGUGCCAGCCGCCGCCGUAA